rnacentral:rRNA from 1 species
UGGUGGAGUGAUUUGUCUGGUUAAUUCCGUUAACGAACGAGACCUCGACCUGCUAACUAGAUCGGCGAACUCUCGGGUUCGUGCGUGUCUUCUUAGAGGGACUAUCGGUGCGUAGCCGAUGGAAGUUCGAGGCAAUAACA